rnacentral:rRNA from 1 species
UCGGACACAGUGGCGGACGGGUGAGUAACGCGUGAGAAUCUGCCUUCAGGUCUGGGACAACCACUGGAAACGGUGGCUAAUACCGGAUGUGCCGAAAGGUGAAAGGUUAACUGCCUGAAGAUGAGCUCGCGUCUGAUUAGCUAGUUGGUAGAGUAAGAGCCUACCAAGGCGACGAUCAGUAGCUGGUCUGAGAGGAUGAUCAGCCACACUGGGACUGAGACACGGCCCAGACUCCUACGGGAGGCAGCAGUGGGGAAUUUUCCGCAAUGGGCGAAAGCCUGACGGAGCAAUACCGCGUGAGGGAGGAAGGCUCUUGGGUCGUAAACCUCUUUUCUCAGGGAAGAACAAAAUGACGGUACCUGAGGAAUAAGCAUCGGCUAACUCCGUGCCAGCAGCCGCGGUAAUACGGAGGAUGCAAGCGUUAUCCGGAAUGAUUGGGCGUAAAGCGUCCGCAGGUGGCGAUGUAAGUCUGCUGUUAAAGCGUCUAGCUCAACUAGAUAAAAGCAGUGGAAACUACAUACGCUAGAGUGCGUUCGGGGCAGAGGGAAUUCCUGGUGUAGCGGUGAAAUGCGUAGAGAUCAGGAAGAACACCGGUGGCGAAGGCGCUCUGCUAGGCCGCAACUGACACUGAGGGACGAAAGCUAGGGGAGCGAAUGGGAUUAGA